GUAUCAACAGCUGCAGAAGAGGGACAUUGACAUGGUGUUUGUCAAACGUGCCCUGCAAAACUUCACCAGCAGUGUUCAGGCCAUCAGGGACCAAAGCUCCUCUCAACAGCAGCAGCAAGAAGCACCAGGUACCACAAGAUCAAGGAGAGCCUAAGGAGAACAAGAGAAGCAGAGGCUGUCAAAAGAGAUCUGUGACACAAUCCUGGGCCAUGUCAAAGAGGUUCUCCUCCACCAGCCACCUUGUGAGUGCCGUGCUGCUAGAGGCAGAGCUGUUCGACCGGCAUCUGAAAACAUUUCCUGAAGAGGCUCUGAAUACCACCGUGAGGGCAUAUCCCAUGCUACACAAGGAGAGGCUCAGGACUGAGCUUUCUCUCAUCUACGAAAGUCCAGACUUCAGGGGCUGCUGCAGUGCACUGGCACCGUACCAGGUUCUACAGAGCUACAAUCUCCAGGAAACCUUCUCUGAGACUGUGGCGGUAUUGAACAUCCUCAUCACCACUCCGAUGACAACAGCUGAAGCUGAGAGGUGUUCCUCCACCUUAAAGAGGAUCAAGACAUUUCUGAGAAAUACAAUGGGACAGGAACAUCUAAAUGCAUUGGGAAUGCUUUCCGUGGAGAGAGAGCUUGUCAGGAACAUGCCUGAUUUCAAUGAGAGGGUGAUUGAUCGCUUUGCUUGUUUGAAAGAGAGGCGUUCUAAAUUUCAAUACAAGUGAUGAGUGAGUGUGUUCUUGAAUGGUGAAUUGUGUUAUGUUGUACUCUCCAAAUGUUGAAUUGUAAGUAGCUGUAUUCAUUGCAUUUUUCCAGCCAAAUAUAUGACAAAUAUGUUCUCAAAAUCUUGGCUAAUUGCAGUUUUGUGGAUGGUCCGGAAGGACCAAAUUAAACAAGGAAACGUGACAA